GACGAACGCUGGCGGCGUGCUUAACACAUGCAAGUCGUACGGUAAGGCCCUUUCGGGGGUACACGAGUGGCGAACGGGUGAGUAACACGUGCGUAACCUGCCCACAACUUUGGGAUAACGCUAGGAAACUGGUGCUAAUACUGGAUAUGUGCUCCUGCUGCAUGGUGGGGGUUGGAAAGCUCCGGCGGUUGUGGAUGGACUCGCGGCCUAUCAGCUUGUUGGUGGGGUAGUGGCCUACCAAGGCGGCGACGGGUAGCCGGCCUGAGAGGGUGACCGGCCACAUUGGGACUGAGAUACGGCCCAGACUCCUACGGGAGGCAGCAGUGGGAAAUAUUGCACAAUGGGCGCAAGCCUGAUGCAGCAACGCCGCGUGCGGGAUGACGGCCUUCGGGUUGUAAACCGCUUUCAGCAGGGACGAAGCUUUUUGUGACGGUACCUGCAGAAGAAGCACCGGCUAACUACGUG
rnacentral:rRNA from 1 species